GAUGAACGCUGGCGGCGUGCCUAAUACAUGCAAGUCGAGCGAACAGACGAUGAUCUUGCUCCUCUCACGUGAGCCGCAGGCGGGUGAGUAACGCGUGUAUAACCCACCUAUCAUACUGGUAUAAUCUGGGAAAACCGGCUCUAAUACCGUAGAAUCUAUUGAAGCACGGUGGUGGAUGGAGAAUGUCGGUUGUUCUGGCAGUUAUAGCGGGAUCCGGGCCGGAUUAGAUAGUUGGUAAGGUAACGGCUUAUCAAGGCUACGAUGCGUAGGCGACGUGAGAGGGUGAUCGGCGACACUGGAACUGAGCCACGGUCCAGACUCCUACGGGAGGCAGCAGUCGGGAAUCUUCGGCAAUGGGCGAGAGCCUGACGGAGUGACGCCGAGUGAGAGAUGACAGCCUUCCGUUCGGAAAGCUCUGUUACUAGUGAUGAACCGCUUUGUACGUAAACAUGCCCGUAUUGACGGUAAUUAAUAAGAAAGCACCGGCUAACUACGUG
rnacentral:rRNA from 1 species